GAUGAACGCUGGCGGCGUGCCUAACACAUGCAAGUCGAACGGAGAUUACGGACGGAAGUUUUCGGAUGGAAGACUGUAAUUCUUAGUGGCGGACGGGUGAGUAACGCGUGGGCAACCUGCCCUAUACAGGGGGAUAGCAGCUGGAAACGGCUGGUAAGACCGCAUAAGUCGGUUAAAUCGCAUGAUUUGAUCGGGAAAUGAGCAAUCAGGUAUAGGAUGGGCCCGCGUCCGAUUAGCCAGUUGGCAGGGUAAAAGCCUACCAAAGCGACGAUCGGUAGCCGGACUGAGAGGUCGGACGGCCACAUUGGGGCUGAGACACGGCCCAAACUCCUACGGGAGGCAGCAGUGGGGGAUAUUGCACAAUGGAGGAAACUCUGAUGCAGCGACGCCGCGUGAGUGAAGAAGUAUUUCGGUAUGUAAAGCUCUAUCAGCAGGGAAGAUGAUGACGGUACCUGACUAAGAAGCCCCGGCUAACUACGUG
rnacentral:rRNA from 1 species